rnacentral:rRNA from 1 species
GAUGAACGCUGGCGGCGUGCCUAAUACAUGCAAGUCGAGCGAACAGACGAGGAGCUUGCUCCUCUGACGUUAGCGGCGGACGGGUGAGUAACACGUGGAUAACCUACCUAUAAGACUGGGAUAACUUCGGGAAACCGGAGCUAAUACCGGAUAAUAUAUUGAACCGCAUGGUUCAAUAGUGAAAGACGGUUUUGCUGUCACUUAUAGAUGGAUCCGCGCCGCAUUAGCUAGUUGGUAAGGUAACGGCUUACCAAGGCAACGAUGCGUAGCCGACCUGAGAGGGUGAUCGGCCACACUGGAACUGAGAAACGGUCCAGACUCCUACGGGAGGCAGCAGUAGGGAAUCUUCCGCAAUGGGCGAAAGCCUGACGGAGCAACGCCGCGUGAGUGAUGAAGGUCUUCGGAUCGGAAAACUCUGUUAUUAGGGAAGAACAAAUGUGUAAGUAACUAUGCACGUCUUGACGGUACCUAAUCAGAAAGCCACGGCUAACUACGUG